rnacentral:rRNA from 1 species
GACGAACGCUGGCGGCGUGCUUAACACAUCCAAGUCGAACGGAAAGGCGCUGCUUUUGUGGGGUGCUCGAGUGGCGAACGGGUGAGUAACACGUGAGUAACCUGCCCUUGACUGUGGGAGAACUUCAGGAAACUGGGGCUAAUACCGGAGAGGAGCUCCUGCUGCAUGGGGGGGGAUGGAAAGUUUCGGCGGUUGGGGAUGGACUCGCGGCUUAUCAGCUGGUUUGGGGGGUAGUGGCUUACCAAGGCUGUGAAUGGUAGCCGGCGUUAGAGGGUGGCCGGCCACGAUGGUCCUGAGGUACGGCGCAGUCGACUAUGGUGCGCAGCAGGGGAGAAUCUUGCACAAUAGCCCGAAGCUUGAUACGGAAUUGUUGCGUGCGUAAUGCCCUCUUUCUAGUUGUAAACCGAUUUCGCCGUUGAUGAACCCUGGUUGACGGUACCUGGUCAAGAAGCCCCGGCUAACUACGUG